AGUACGAGUCCAAAACAGGACGAAACGCACGUCCUGGAU
rnacentral:hammerhead_ribozyme from 1 species